rnacentral:rRNA from 1 species
GACGAACCGUGCGAACGUUAUUCGGAAUCACUGGGCUUAAAGCGCGUGUAGGCGGGCGGGCACGUCCGGUGCUGAAAUCCCCCGGCUCAACCGGGGAACGGGCGCGGAUACGACUCUCCUUGAGGGGCGUAGGGGGACCUGGAACUUCCGGUGGAGCGGUGAAAUGCGUUGAGAUCGGAAGGAACGCCCGUGGCGAAGGCGGCCUGCUGGGCUGACCCUGACACUGAGGCGCGAAGGCGUGGGGAGCGAACGGG